rnacentral:lncRNA from 1 species
UGUUGACGACAUCUUCGAUAACUUGGAUAUACACAGCGCUCGUUGUCGUGGUUGUACCCAUCCUCUGAGCUUCUCAAAAUCUCCUUAAUUAAGUUCCGGCGGAAAACCAGAUUCGUCCUCCGGGACUCUGGUUUUAUUUACCAGAGGCAACAUUUAAGGGUGAUUUAUCCAAGAAAUUGCCACAUACAAAAUAUAAUAAUAAUAAAAAAAUUUACAAGCCCGUCACGAUUACCUAGGGUUCGGCGGAGGCGGUAAGACGGAGUAUGGCAGAGAUCGGCGACGGAGCGUAAACAGAGAAGACAGAGAGAUCAGAGAUCGAGAGGAGCGGUCAAGACAGAACAGCAGCGAAGAAUAUAAAUAGGUUUGGAUCAGAUCACAUCACAACAAUGACACGUGCCAUCAUCUCCGCGAUUCAAUUUAUUUUCUUCGCGACAUUAUUAUUAUCUUCGCCCUUUUUUUUUUUAAAUUAGAUCAACCAUAAAUCUAAAAAAAAACUCGAAAAUAUUUCCUUGGUAAAUUUCUCCAUCUUUGGUAAAAAAAUAUUUCUGAUU